GACGAACGCUGGCGGCGUGCCUAAUACAUGCAAGUAGAACGCACAGUUUAUACCGUAGCUUGCUACACCAUAGACUGUGAGUUGCGAACGGGUGAGUAACGCGUAGGUAACCUGCCUGGUAGCGGGGGAUAACUAUUGGAAACGAUAGCUAAUACCGCAUAAUAUUAAUUAUUGCAUGAUAAUUAAUUGAAAGGUGCAAUUGCACCACUACCAGAUGGACCUGCGUUGUAUUAGCUAGUAGGUGAGGUAACGGCUCACCUAGGCGACGAUACAUAGCCGACCUGGGAGGGUGAUCGGCCAAACUGGGAAUGAGAAACGGCCCAGACUCCUACGGGAGGCAGCAGUAGGGAAUCUUCGGCAAUGGACGAAAGUCUGACCGAGCAACGCCGCGUGAGUGAAGAAGGUUUUCGGAUCGUAAAGCUCUGUUGUAAGAGAAGAACGGGUGUGAGAGUGGAAAGUUCACACUGUGACGGUAUCUUACCAGAAAGGGACGGCUAACUACGUG
rnacentral:rRNA from 1 species